GACGAACGCUGGCGGCGUGCUUAACUCAUGCAAGUCGAACGGAAAGGCCCUGCUUUUGUGGGGUGCUCGAGUGGCGAACGGGUGAGUAACACGUGAGUAACCUGCCCUUGACUUUGGGAUAACUUCAGGAAACUGGGGCUAAUACCGGAUAGGAGCUCCUGCUGCAUGGUGGGGGUUGGAAAGUUUCGGCGGUUGGGGAUGGACUCGCGGCUUAUCAGCUUGUUGGUGGGGUAGUGGCUUACCAAGGCUUUGACGGGUAGCCGGCCUGAGAGGGUGACCGGCGACAGUGGGACUGAGAUACGGGCGAGACUGCUACGGGAGGCAGCAGUGGGGAAUAUUGCACAAUGGGCGGAAGCCUGAUGCAGCAACGCCGCGUGCGGGAUGACGGCCUUCGGGUUGUAAACCGCUUUCGCCUGUGGCGAAGCGUGAGUGGGGGUAAUGGGUAGAGAGGCACGGGCUGGGUACGUG
rnacentral:rRNA from 1 species